rnacentral:rRNA from 1 species
GACGAACGCUGGCGGCGUGCUUAACACAUGCAAGUCGAACGGAAAGGCCCUGCUUUUGUGGGGUGCUCGAGUGGCGAACGGGUGAGUAAAACGUGAGUAACCUGCCCUUGACUUUGGGAUAACUUCAGGAAACUGGGGCUAAUACCGGAUAGGAGCUCCUGCUGCAUGGUGGGGGUUGGAAAGUUUCGGCGGUUGGGGAUGGACUCGCGGCUUAUCAGCUUGUUGGUGGGGUAGUGGCUUACCAAGGCUUUGACGGGUAGCCGGCCUGAGAGGGUGACCGGCCACAUUGGGCCUGCGAUACGGCCCAGACUCCUACGGGAGGCAGCAGUGGGGAAUAUUGCACAAUGGGCGGAAGCCUGAUGCAGCAGCGCCGCGUUCGUGAUGCCGGCCUUCGGGUUGUAAACCGCUUUCUCCUGUGACGAAGCGUGAGUGACGGUAAUGGGUAAAGAAGCACCGGCUAACUACGUG